UAUAUAUUGUACUCACAAGUUUGGUUCAUUGGCUAAAGCUGGAUUAUUUCGUGCAUCUAUCAGGCAAAGAAGGACGUAUCAACAUGAGUUGGUUCAUCUAAUUGAGGCAAUGAUGAUGGGUCUGGGAGUCAAAUGCAUGAGAUCAUUUGUACAUCUUUAAGGAGCAUGAUGAAAGGUGGCCUUUAAUUUUCCAUAACCUCUACGAACAUUCAAGGCAUCAUUUCUAUGGUUACCAUGGGAAGCUUAUCGCUAUUACAUCACUUUGGCUGCUUUAGCUGUAGUGACUCUGCCCCUGCCCAUUGCCCAAUUUGGUAGUGUGUCCAUUUUGUAUAAAGAUUUUUGCAACUAGCCAGUGGUGGUAGGAGUAGUGGAGGUAUCAAUAUAUAAAUACUAGUAGAGAUUAAGAAUAACUGGCAGGGUUGUUUAAUUAUGUGAUAAGGGAUUAGAUAAAGGUCAAUUUCAAUGUCUUAGGUAGCGGAGUUGUGAAAUGACAGCAACAGUAUGGGGACAAACAUGGAGUGGAGUUGUGAGGAGGAUGGUUCUUCUGGACUUCUGGUUAAGGUACUUUUCAACAACUUGGCCUAGAUUAUGAAGGUGCCUUGGUUUGACAAAUAAAUGGUUGACGGAGCAAGAUGAUGUAGUGGCGCUGUGGGGGAGAUGCAUUGGAGGUUGAGGAUUUUGAGUGCAAUCAACAGAAGAAAUAGUCAGUUAAAUUGCUAUUGUUUUUCUUGUAAGAAAAGACCUGGAGCUCUCUGAUAGUUUUAACGAAAUCUAGAUAUUGCCUGUUUACAGUUGGGAGCAGUGAGAGGUUCAUCGCAGAGAGGGGUAAAUUUCAGAACGGUAUUUUCAGGAAACGUGGUUAUAACUUUGGCAGCAGGGGUAAUGCCAGAAAUGAGUUCAGGAUCAAGUACAAGCUUACAAGCAGCCAGUCAAAGAAUAGUGGAAGUUUGCAAGCUGUCCAGAUUGUGCAGGUGCUUUUUUUUUUUUUUUUUGACAAAAUUGUGCAGGUGCUUAGGUGAGGCAGACCGUGUAUGAUUGCAUCAACUUGUAAUUGAUUGGAGUGGAGCAAGAUGGUGUAGUGGCGGAGAUGAAGCGGGGUUGAGGUUUCUGAGUGCCAUCGCCACAAGAAGAAGGAUAAUUAGAGAGUAGUGUUUUGCCAUUCAUGCAGAUGGUUAAAGCUUAUUGGUAUUACAUCAUUUGGUUCCUUUAGCUUGUGUCUUAGCCAUUUGUUCGAAAUUAUUAACAAACCGAUGAUAAUAGUUUUAAGAGAUGAGCAGGGGAUUGUAUCACUCCUCUGUGCUUUGAUCAUUUUUACACACCAGAUUUGAUUCGAUUUCAGGAGUUGGUAGAAAGAAGAAAGGUGAGUUGAUCGAAAAAAGAAUUUGACAAAUAAAAAUAAUGCAAUGUGGUGAAAACAACACCUUUUCCCUCAAGAUAC